rnacentral:rRNA from 1 species
GAUGAACGCUGGCGGCGUGCCUAAUACAUGCAAGUCGAGCGAACGGACGAGAAGCUUGCUUCUCUGAUGUUAGCGGCGGACGGGUGUGUAACACGUGGAUAACCUACCUAUAAGACUGGGAUAACUUCGGGAAACCGGAGCUAAUACCGGAUGAUAUUUUGAACCGCAUGGUUCAAAAGUGAAAGACGGUCUUGCUGUCACUUAUAGAUGGAUCCGCGCUGCAUUAGCUAGUUGGUAAGGUAAUGGCUUACCAAGGCAACGAUGCAUAGCCGACCUGAGAGGGUGAUCGGCCACACUGGAACUGAGACACGGUCCAGACUCCUACGGGAGGCAGCAGUAGGGAAUCUUCCGCAAUGGGCGAAAGCCUGACGGAGCAACGCCGCGUGAGUGAUGAAGGUCUUCGGAUCGUAAAACUCUGUUAUUGGGGAAGAACAUAUGUGUAAGUAACUGUGCACAUCUUGACGGUACCUAAUCAGAAAGCCACGGCUAACUACGUG